GAUGAACGCUGGCGGCGUGCCUAACACAUGCAAGUCGAACGAAGCUUGACGAAUGAUUUUUUCGGAAUGAAUUCUGAUAUGACUUAGUGGCGGACGGGUGAGUAACACGUGAGCAACCUGCCUUUCAGAGGGGGAUAACAGUUGGAAACGGCUGCUAAUACCGGAUAGGUUAGUUUCUGGCAUCAGGGACUAAUUAAAGUUGGGAUACGACACGGAUGGAUGAGCUUAUGGCGUAUUAGCUAGUAGGUGAGGUAACGGCCCACCUAGGCGAUGAUACGUAGCCGACCUGAGAGGGUGACCGGCCACAUUGGGACUGAGACACGGCCCAA
rnacentral:rRNA from 1 species